AUACGGAGGAUCCGAGCGUUAUCCGGAUUUAUUGGGUUUAAAGGGUGCGCAGGCGGCCAUUUAAGUCAGCGGUUAAAUCGUGGGGCUCAACCCCAUUCUGCCGUUGAUACUGGGUGGCUUGAUUGCGGUCGAGGUUGGCGGAAUUCGUUGUGUAGCGGUGAAAUGCAUAGAUAUGACGAAGAACACCGAUUGCGUAGGCAGCUGACCAGACCGCAAAUGACGCUCAUGCACGAAAGUGCGGGGAUCGAACAGGAUUAGAUACCCUGGUAGUCCGCACAGUAAACGAUGAAUACUUGUUUUCGGCGAUAUAAUGUCGGAGGCAAAGCGAAAGCGAUAAGUAUUCCACCUGGGGAGUACGCCGGCAACGGUGACACUUAAAGGAAUUGACGGGG
rnacentral:rRNA from 1 species